rnacentral:rRNA from 1 species
UUUCCGGUUGAUCCUGCCAGAGGCUACUGCCAUCAGAGUUCGAUUAAGCCAUGUUAGUCGAGGGUGCUUCUUCUUCGGAAGAAGUAACCCGGCGGACGGCUCAGUAACACGUGGAUAACUUGCCCUUGGGUCCGGGAUAACCCCUGAGAAAUUGGGGACAAUACCGGAUAGGGCAUCGAUAGCUGGAACGCGCGAUGUCCAAAAGCUGAGGCGCCCAAGGAUAGGUCUGCGGCCGAUUAGGUUGUUGUCGAUGUAAUGGAUCAACAAGCCUGCAAUCGGUACGGGUUGUGAGAGCAAGAGCCCGGAGAUGGGUUCUGAGAGAAGAACCCAGGUCCUACGGGACGCAUCAGGCGCGAAAACUUUACAAUGUGCGAAAGCACGAUAAGGGAACUCUGAGUGCCUCCUAUGGAGGCUGUUCAGGUGUCUAAAAAGCACUUGAAGUAAGGGCUGGGUAAGACCGGUGCCAGCCGCUGCGGUAACACCGGCAGCCCAAGUGGUAGCCACGAUUAUUGGGUCUAAAGCGUCCGUAGCCGGCCAGGUAAGUUCUUUGGGAAAUUUAACCGCUCAACGGUUAAGCUUUCAGGGAAUACUGCUUGGCUUGGGACCGGGAGAGGUCAGAGGUACUUCAAGGGUAGGGGUGAAAUCCGUUAAUCCUUGAGGGACCACCAGUAGCGAAGGCGUCUGACCAGACCGGGUCCGACGGUGAGGGACGAAGGCUAGGGUCGCGAACCGGAUUAGAUACCCGGGUAGUCCUAGCUGUAAACGAUGCGGGCCAGGUGUUGGCAUUACUGCGAGUGAUGACAGUGCCGAAGGGAAGCCGUUAAGCCCGCCAUCUGGGGAGUACGGUCGCAAGGCUGAAACUUAAAGGAAUAGGCGGGGGAGCACCACAACGGGUGGAGCCUGCGGUUCAAUUGGAUUCAACGCCGGAA